UACGUAGGUGGCAAGCGUUGUCCGGAUUUACUGGGCGUAAAGGGAGCGUAGGCGGAUAUUUAAGUCAGAUGUGAAAUACCCGAGCUUAACUUGGGUGCUGCAUUUGAAACUGGAUAUCUGGAGUGCAGGAGAGGAAAGUGGAAUUCCUAGUGUAGCGGUGAAAUGCGUAGAGAUUAGGAAGAACACCAGUGGCGAAGGCGACUUUCUGGACCGUAACUGACGCUGAGGCAUGAAAGCGUGGGGAGCAAAC
rnacentral:rRNA from 1 species